UAUUAAAUAAGUAAGAGUUUUUGGUGGAUGCCUUGGGUCUGGAAGUCGAUGAAGGACGCGAUUACCUGCGAUAAGCCUCGUGGAGCUGGAAAUAAGCUAUGAAACGGGGAUUUCCGAAUGGGGAAACCUAACUAGAUUAAUCUCUAGUUGCAUUCUAAUGAAUACAUAGUUAGAAUUGUGAGACACGUUGAGAACUGAAACAUCUUAGUACCAACAGGAAAAGAAAAUAAAUAAUGAUUCCCU
rnacentral:rRNA from 1 species